UACGUAGGGUGCAAGCGUUGUCCGGAAUUAUUGGGCGUAAAGAGCUCGUAGGCGGUUUGUCGCGUCUGCUGUGAAAACCCGAGGCUCAACCUCGGGCCUGCAGUGGGUACGGGCAGACUAGAGUGCGGUAGGGGAGAUUGGAAUUCCUGGUGUAGCGGUGGAAUGCGCAGAUAUCAGGAGGAACACCUGUGGCGAAGGCGGCUUUCUGGGCCUUACCUGACGCUAAGACGCGAAAGCGUGGGGAGCAAACAGG
rnacentral:rRNA from 1 species